CCCUUAGAUGUUCUGGGCCGCACGCGCGCUACACCGAUGCAUUCAACGAGUUUCUUCCUGGUCCGAGAGGAAUGGGUAACCUUUUGAAAGUGCAUCGUGAUAGGGAUAGACUAUUGCAAUUAUUGGUCUUCAACGAGGAAUUCCUAGUAGACGUAGUUCAUCAGACUGCAUCGAUUACGUCCCUGCCCUUUGUACACACCGCCCGUCGCUCCUACCGAUUGAAUGCUCAGGUGAGCCAUUCGGACUUUCAUCAUGCUGGUUUCCAGUUUUGAUGAAGGAAAGUCUUGCGAACCUUAUCAUUUAGAGGAAGGAGAAGCCGUAACA
rnacentral:rRNA from 1 species